rnacentral:rRNA from 1 species
AUGGAGAUCUGGGUAGCCGACCCCAAGGCAACACCGAGGGUGAUGUCCAGCUUGUUCUUCAGGGCGAAGAUCACGGCUCCGGCGUGCUCCGCCGCGUUACCAACGAUGGGGAGCAGGAUGAUGCUGAUGAAGCUCACCGAGAGACCCCACGACUGCGAGGUCGGCUCGAUGGUGCCGACAACGUACUCGGAGAGCACGGCGAUUAUGAUGGUCAUGAGGAUGAGCCAGAAGAGCGCGCUCCCAAAGCCGAGGACCGCCUCUUCCUCAUCAUCAUCGCCGCCCUCAAUCUCCUGCGGCUCGAAGAGCUGGCGAUGCGUCUUGAGCUGGAAGAAGAGGUAG